UACGUAGGGUGCGAGCGUUAAUCGGAAUUACUGGGCGUAAAGCGUGCGCAGGCGGUUUUGUAAGCCAGAUGUGAAAUCCCCGGGCUUAACCUGGGAAUGGCAUUUGGGACUGCAAGGCUCGAGUGCGGCAGAGGAGACUGGAAUUCCUGGUGUAGCAGUGAAAUGCGUAGAUAUCAGGAGGAACACCGAUGGCGAAGGCAGGUCUCUGGGCUGACACUGACGCUCAUGCCCGAAAGCGUGGGGAGCAAACAGG
rnacentral:rRNA from 1 species